UUAUUAAAAACUCAAUUAUUAAUUUAAAAAUUUUAAGACUAUUAAAUAUUAAUUUAAUUAAACUUUUAAAUUUCAGUAUCGUAACAACGUAAAGAAAUUAGUUCUAUUUCAUUCGGGACACGAAUACAGUUUAAUAUGACAAAACAUUAACAUGUGUUGACAAAACAAAAGGAAUGGAAACUACUUUGAAUGUUAGGUUUUAGUUUCGUUUGAAAGUCAGGUAUCCUCAACGACCAAACCAAAACAGUUUUUAACUUUCUUCUACUUACCAGUCCAACAUUAUCCAGGCAUGCAUGCUAAAAAGAUUCCAGCUGGAAAAUCUUCAUGGAUCCCUUACUCCUUGGCCGAUAAGCUUUCUUUCUCCUCCCAGAUCAGGAAAAGAUAAACAAAACAAAACAAAAUAAAAAACAUUAUAUAUAUGUAGUACUGCAUGUCUCUGUCUUGGAAGUAAUCUAUAUAAAGAGGACUACAGGUUUAGCUCAUUUUAAGCGCAUUGCAAGCUCGGUACUGAAAGAAGUUGGCACCUUUGAGCAAACUCAGGACAUCAGAGCGAGAGAGAUGCCUCCACCUUGGGGACCGCCGGGAGGGCCGGGAGGGCCGGGAGGGCCAGGAGGCCCGGGCUGUGGUUGCUUUGAUUUUCUCUGCGGUGGUAUAUGCCGCCUUGUAUCAUCCUGCUUCUAUGUGCUGUGCUGCUGCUGCAUCUUUGAGAGCUGCUGUGGACCCUUAUUUGGUGGCCCACCUGGCUUUGGUGGCCCUGGUGGUCCUGGUGGACCCCAAGGUUCUGAUCAUCAGCUAAUUCCUAUGCCCUUGUUAUGUAAUACCAUGAGGAGAGAAUAAAAAGCUGUUGAGCUGAGCUGAUCUAAUUAUGUGGGUGUACUAGUUUUUUUUUCUUUUUAAUUAAUGUAUUCAUCUCUGGUUGGUGGUUGGGAAUGUGAGAAUAACAGUGCCAAUACCAGUUAGUUUUGGGCUUUGCUUUGAGACUAAACUCAGUACACUCUGUUUAUUGGCAAUUAUUUGGAGAGGUAUAUAUAUCCAAAGCAAUGAUCAUAUUGCUUGGAAA